CAAAACCAAGAGUCAGAUGCUUAACCAAAUGUGUCACCCAGGCACCCUGCUGCAAUCUAACUGUCCUUUUAAGAGGAUAUAUUUCCCUAGGUAAACAUUUCUCCAAAUAAAACCUGCACCCAUCAUUCACAUGGGCCAGAGUAAGAAGGAACAGUCUUGGCAGGAACAAAAGGCAAAGGAAACCUUAAAGUUGGAGAGCAAGAAAGAAGAGUGAGAACGAAGGUCCUGGGCAAUGGAGCAGAUGUCCUGCCUACAACCAGUGCUUUUUACGAGGAACCUGAGGCCCAUGGAGAAUAGGGGACCCACUGAAGACUUCAAAAUUUGAAAGGGCAAGUCUUUGGCUCCAAGUCAUUUUCACUUGGAGGCUGUGCCAUUGGCCAUCAGGCAUGGUACUUCUACCCCAAGCACAGAAUUAUCUAGACUAGUGUGGCCCCUACUCCAGGACAAUGAACCACUACUACAAAUUACACAGCAACCGUGCCACUUUGAGGUUCUGCUCACCUGGAAAAUAGCAAGAAGGAAAAUGACCUUCCUAAGAGCUCCCUUUCAGAAAACUUCCUCGGUCCUUUUAAUUUCCUUACGGUAGGAGCUGCCUGUGGCUCUAGC